CUUAAUUUAAGCAUAUUAAUCAGCGGAGGAAAAGAAAAUAACAAUGAUUCCUUUAGUAACGGCGAGUGAAAUGGGAGGAGCUCGCCUUUGCAAAGGGUGAAACCUAAUUUAAAGUAAAUGAAUGUUGUCACAGAAGUUGAGCUUAAAAUCUUAGAAAGAAGGUUUAAGCCGAGAGGGCGAAUGACCAGUAAAGCUAAUGGAUGUGAGAAUACACAUAAUUGAGUAGGUAUAUUUGAAAUUAUAUACCGAAGUUUGGGGUAAAUUUCCCAAAAGGCUAAAUACA
rnacentral:rRNA from 1 species